CAUCAGGCUCCAUGGAGAGGGGGAGGGGAGCAACUCCACCGGAAGCCCUCUGCUUUUCUACUCUGGAGUUGGGGGAGGGUGGCCACAUGCCCACAGAGGGCGCUCUACCUGCCAUCUUUGGCACCCGUGCCAAAUUCAGAUUCAAAUCAAGUAGGCUGACUCUAAAGCCCUCUGGAUGGAAAGAAGAGAUCACAAAAGAGUCAUUGUGCAGUACCAAGAAGUACAAGGUCAAGGAACCCAACCAAUCCCAAUGUGAUUGAUGAGAAUCUGUGCCAAGACAGAGGACUUGUUUUGAGGUUCGAGGAAGCAGCUGUUUGACAAUGUCAAACACAGGAUUUCCUAAUGCCAGAUUUCCAGAAAGUACCUCAGUUUGGCUGCCAUUUUGACUCCCUUCUCCUUGAGAGUGAAGGUAAAAUCAGUCCAGGGAAUUAUAUUUCCCUUUUGCUUCAAAAUCUAGUCCCUUUUUCUCUCUUUAUAGUAGGGCAAUAUUUUUGUAGACCUGGCUGCCAAUGGGUAAUUGCUACAUUGUUACAAUUGUCUUACAGGUUUGUAGGACAUAUAUCACUUUAAUUGGGCCCUGAUUCAAGGACCUGUUAUAGACUUAUUCUUGAUUAUUUAGAAUUUUAUAUUCAUAUAUCUCCAUAACUCAACCAUGUGUCCCAGGGUGAUUAUGGCAUUGGUCAACACCUUCCUCAGGAGGAGGAGAGGAUUGUAUCAUUUUUGUAUAAUUCAAAAUUGUUACUUUUUCUUUCUGAGAAUAAUUUCAGGAGAGGAGACUCACUAACUACCUGAAUUGAUAAAGUGAACUAUUUGGAGAAGGCGCCAUAAAGAAGCCUGCAGAAACUAUGCACUGCAUCAAGAGAUCCAGAGUGAACUUUGCCAUAGAGUGAAAUGACUGAAGGAAGUUAAAUGCAUUUAUUUUCUUUGUAAACUUUUAUGACAAAAGGGAUUGUCCCCUAAUUGGCUUUUUAUCAAUGUGCCUACCAAUCAUUGCUUUUGUUCUCUUUCUCUUUUAUUUCUCCCAUACCUCCAAUUAUUGUAAUUUUCCCUUUCGAUAGUACAAUAUUGUAAAUACCUCUAGUAAGAGAUUUAAGCUGGUUAUUUGUAAUGAUUCUUUGGGGAAACUAGACACAUAACUCUGGGAGAUUUUAACAUGUUCCUCUCCCAAUAGAAUCAGAGGGAGGAUUGCUUAGAUAGAAACUGCUCCCUAAAUUUGUCCUACCCCACAUCCCAUUUUGCCUAUGUACUUUGCAUGAUGGAGAGGGACAGAUGUAAAGAGGUGUGAUAUGUAAGAGGAGGUCUCUCUCUCUGGGUUGGUGAGGUGGUGGAAGACAGGCUGGAGCCAGAACCUUGGUGCCUAAUAUGAGCUAAAGGGUUUUUUGUCAGAUUUGGCAGUUUGGUGUUUUGGAUUUGGGCUUCCUGAUUUGGCUCAGGGUAUUAUUUUAGAUAGGUGAUAUUUUCUGUCCUUUUCCUACAUUUCCCUUUUGUCUAUAUCUUCAUUUAUAUUGAAAUCUUAAUUGUUAAGAGAUACUAACAGACUCCUGAUUUGACACUCUUUUAAAAAUUAAUAUUAAUUUAAUAAUUUUACUUUAAUUUAUUUCAGUGCAAAGAUUUGGAAAAUGAGUAAAUACUCAACUGAAGAAUGGCUAAAUUGUAGUAUACGUUUGUAAUGGAAUAUUAUUGUGUCAUAAGAAACAAGAAGCAAGAGAAGCACAGAAAAACCUCAAAAGACUUACAUGAACUGAAUCAGAGAGUGAAAUAAGUAGAACCAGGAGAAUACUGUACCCAGUGAAAGGAAUACUGUAUAAUUAACUACUGUGAAUAGCUUAACCAUCUCAGAAAUAUAAUUAUUCAAAAUAUUCCCAAGGGGUUCAUGAUGAAAAAUUCUGUUUCCAGAGAAUGAACUGAUAGAGUCUGAAUCCAGACCAAAGCAAACUUUUUUCUCUUUCUUAUUUUUUUUUUUUGGUUCAGGUCUCCUUCCACAAAAGGAUUAAUAUGGGGAAAUGUUUUACAUGAUUGCACAUGUAAAAUCUAAAUGAGAUUGUUUACUAACUUAUCAGGGAAGUGAGAGAGGGAAAAUAUUUGAAAUUCAAAAUUCCAUCAUAAUUUUUAGAAAUAAUUUUCAUGCUAUUGGGGAAAAUAAAACUAUGAGAAAAAAUGAACA
ensembl:lncRNA